AUAAUUGGCAGGGGAGAUACCAUUAUUUUAAAAGUGGUUUUCCCAGGGAAAGAUGCAUCUAUUGCACUUUGGAUGUGCUGACCCCUAUGAUUUCCCCAAAUGUGGGAAAAUCAACUGCCUAAGUGGGGAACUGUAUUUGUGGUUUCUCU
rnacentral:snRNA from 1 species